GGCGACAAUACGGCGGUUUCUCGUCGCGUGCACGUUUGUGUUGCGCAAGCCAAUCCGUCUCCCGGAGACGUCUUGUGCGACUGAGGAUUAUCAGCA
rnacentral:tRNA from 1 species